UACGUAGGGUCCGAGCGUUAAUCGGAAUUACUGGGCGUAAAGCGUGCGCAGGCGGUUUUGUAAGCCAGAUGUGAAAGCCCCGGGCUCAACCUGGGAACUGCAUUUGGGACUGCAAGGCUGGAGUACGGCAGAGGGAGGUGGAAUUCCGACGUGUAGCAGUGAAAUGACGUAGAGAUGUGGAGGAACACCGAUGGCGAAGGCAGCCUCCUGGGCUAGUACUGACGCUCAUGCACGAAAGCGUGGGGAGCAAACAGG
rnacentral:rRNA from 1 species